GACGUAGGGCGCGAGCGUUGUCCGGAUUUAUUGGGCGUAAAGAGCUCGUAGGCGGCUUGUCGCGUCGUCUGUGAAAUCCCACGGCUCAACUGUGGGCUUGCAGUCGAUACGGGCAGGCUAGAGUUCGGUAGGGGAGACUGGAAUUCCUGGUGUAGCGGUGAAAUGCGUAGAUAUCGGGAGGAACACCAGUGGCGAAGGCGACUACCUGGCCUGUUCUUGACGCUGAGGCGCGAAAGCUAGGGGAGCAAACGGG
rnacentral:rRNA from 1 species